rnacentral:ncRNA from 2 species
ACGAACGAACACGGGAGUCCCGCUGGGGGCUGAGAGUGGGCCGCAGGCCCAGACCGUAAAUACCUGACCCGGGUCAUGCCGGCGGAGGAAGUGAGUUUCCGUGGAGC